rnacentral:rRNA from 1 species
CGCAUCUGUGCAUGCAGCAUAUCAAUAAGCGGAGGAAAAGAAACUAACAAGGAUUCCCUUAGUAACGGCGAGUGAAGCGGGAAGAGCUCAAAUUUGAAAUCUUCAAGGUUUUACCUUGACGAAUUGUAGUUUAAAGAAGUGUUUUCUGUUGAAGUUUUGGUAAAAGUUCUUUGGAAUAGGACAUCAUAGAGGGUGAGAAUCCCGUAUUUGACCAUUAUUUUCAGCUGUGUGAUACACUUUCAAAGAGUCGGAUUGUUUGGGAAUGCAGUCCAAAAUGGGUGGUAAAUUUCAUCUAAAGCUAAAUAUUGGCGAGAGACCGAUAGCGAACAAGUACCGUGAGGGAAAGAUGAAAAGAACUUUGAAAAGAGAGUUAAACAGUACGUGAAAUUGUCAAAAGGGAAGCGUUUGACACCAGUGUUGUUUUCUCGAAAAUCAAUUAAAAAGAGUUAGGAUUUUGUUGUGUAUUGACCUUAACAGCUUGCAUUUCAAUCUUUUCAUUGCUUUUUUUAAUGCACUUUUCGUUUAACAAGUCAACAUCAGUUUCUUUUGUUGUAAAAGGGUCAUUGGAAGGUGGCUUUCUUUUCGGAGAAAGUGUUUAUAGCCUUUGAUCUCCUGCAAUCGGAGAGACUGAGGUCUGCAGCGUAGAUCCUUCGGGGUUAGAUACAUUUGUGCUAAGCUACAGCUUUUCAUAGACAACUUGUUGACUAUGUUUAGUCUUGUGACUUACCCGCUUAUGCUAUUUUACCUACGCUUAGGAUGUUGACGCGCGUGUGUGCGUGAGUCUAUACAUGACUCUGUGCAUAUCAAUAAGCGGAGGAAAAGGGUACCUACGCUUAGGAUGUUGACGCAUGAGAUAUACG